UUUGCUCAGGGGUUGAGCACAGAAGGUACCAGUGACAUCAGACUGGUCACCUGCCACUAGUGGGGUUCCACAGGGCUCCAUCUUAGGUCCUGUGCUCUUCACCACCUUCAUAAAUGACUUGGACACAGGACUGAAAGGGACAAUAAGCAAGUUUGCAGACAACACAAAACUGGGAGGAGCUGUUGACUCCCUCAGGGCCAGUAAUACAAGGAAUCUUCAGCCUGCUGGCGGUGUCGGACCACUAGCAAACCAAUGGUUCCCAAUAUCACUACCUUGAUGCUGUUUCACUCCACUUCUACAUAUGCAAGUUGUCUGUGGCAAGUAUUCAUUGAUUUAUAGAUAUCUGCACAACUCAACUAUGAAUCACAAGAUACUUCUGUAUGAACACCAUAAAAUCAGGAAUAUUUGAGAAGGAAAAAGAAUAAGAAAAAAAAUCAGCAUUAGCUGCCAUACAAUCUUAGACUAGCAUUGCUCCAUUAGGUGUGGAAGUCAAGAAAGCAGGGCUGGCUGUUGACCUCAUCAGGGGUCUUGCACACCUUGGAAACAGCUUCAACAUUAACAAGCAUGCUAAUCUGCCUGAAAUCAAAUAGGCAAUUACUCUGCUACUUCCAUGUAUUUUGAGGCAAGUAUAAUUUGAUAGUUAGACAUUAAUAAACCUAUUUCAUGGAUCUUA